rnacentral:rRNA from 1 species
GCACAAGCAGUGGAGUAUGUGGUUUAAUUCGAAGCAACGCGAAGAACCUUUACCAGGGCUUGACAUCCCUUGAAGCAGCUAGAGAUGCUGUGUCCUUUCGGGGCAAGGAGACAGGUGGUGCAUGGUUGUCGUCAGCUCGUGUCGUGAGAUGUUGGGUUAAGUCCCGCAACGAGCGCAACCCCUGUGGUUAGUUGCCAGCAAGUAGCGUUGGGCACUCUAGCCAGACUGCCGGUGAUAAAUCGGAGGAAGGUGGGGACGACGUCAAAUCAUCAUGCCCUUUAUGUCCUGGGCUACACACGUACUACAAUGGCCGUUACAACGGGAAGCGAAGGAGCAAUCCGGAGCAAAUCCCUUAAAGGCGGUCCCAGUUCAGAUUGUGGGCUGAAACUCGCCCACAUGAAGGCGGAAUUGCUAGUAAUUGCAGAUCAGCAUGCUGCAGUGAAUACGUUCCCGGGCCUU